UACGGGGGGGGUAAGCGUUGUUCGGAAUUACUGGGCGUAAAGGGCUCGUAGGCGGCCAACUAAGUCAUACGUGAAAUCCCUCAGCUUAACUGGGGAACUGCGUGUGAUACUGGACGGCUUGGAUUUGGGAGAGGGAUGCGGAAUUCCAGGUGUAGCGGUGAAAUGCGUAGAUAUCUGGAGGAACACCGGUGGCGAAGGCGGCAUCCUGGACCAAUAUUGACGCUGAGGAGCGAAAGCCAGGGGAGCAAACGGGG
rnacentral:rRNA from 1 species